AAGUCGGUAACAAGGUUUCCGUAGGUGAAGGAUCAUUAACACGUAUCCAACGUUAACCGCGACCUGCUCCCCUCAAUUUCGGUCUUUUGACAAUCCCUGGUAAAUCGUCGCCGAACAGUUUUGAUUCAGGGACAUCCAAAGGGCCAGGGUAGGGUAAAGCAACCUGGUUUCUUUGAAGCAGAAAGUGUGAUGGCGUGAGCCGGAGAACGGACCGAGUGGUAGUUCAAAGGUGCCUUCUGUCGCGCACUGUGGAAAGGAAGACGCUUUACGAAUCACUGUCCAACACGGUCAGUGACCGGUUCCUGGUCCUAACCACCACAGUCACAGACGAGGUAGGUACCACCAAAUAAAUACUUGAACAACCAUGGAUAUCUUGGUUCUC
rnacentral:misc_RNA from 1 species